AGAGUUUGAUCAUGGCUCAGGACGAACGCUGGCGGCGCGCUUAACACAUGCAAGUCGAGCGAGAACCAGGCCUUCGGGCCUGGGGAAAGCGGCGAACGGGUGAGUAACACGUGGGUAAUCUGCCCUCGGCACCGGGAUAGCCCGGGGAAACCCGGAUUAAUACCGGAUGGCCUCUCGAGCUUUCGGGCUCGUGAGAAAAGGUAGCUUCGGCCUCUGGCCGAGGAGGAGCCCGCGGCGGAUUAGCUUGUUGGUGGGGUAACGGCCCACCAAGGCGACGAUCCGUAGCUGGUCUGAGAGGAUGAUCAGCCACACUGGGACUGAGACACGGCCCAGACUCCUACGGGAGGCAGCAGUGGGGAAUCUUGCGCAAUGGGCGAAAGCCUGACGCAGCGACGCCGUGUGCGGGAAGAAGGCCUUUCAGGUCGUAAACCCCUUUCGGCAGGGACGAAGCGAUCUCGUGACGGUACCUGCAGAAGAAGCCUCGGCUAACUACGUGCCAGCAGCCGCGGUAACACGUAGGAGGCGAGCGUUGUCCGGAAUCAUUGGGCGUAAAGAGCGCGUAGGCGGCUUGGCAAGUCGGGUGUGAAAUCCCGGGGCUCAACCCCGGGACUGCAUUCGAUACUGUCAGGCUAGAGGUAGGUAGGGGAGAUCGGAAUUCCUGGUGUAGCGGUGAAAUGCGCAGAUAUCAGGAGGAACACCAGUAGCGAAGGCGGCUCGCUGGGCCGUUCCUGACGCUGAGACGCGAAAGCUAGGGGAGCGAACAGGAUUAGAUACCCCCGUAGUCC
rnacentral:rRNA from 1 species